rnacentral:rRNA from 1 species
GACGAACGCUGGCGGCGUGCUUAACGCAUGCAAGUCGAACGAUGAAGCCGGAGCUUGCUCUGGUGAAUUAGUGGCGAACGGGUGAGUAACACGUGAGUAACCUGCCCUUGACUCUGGGAUAACUGCGGGAAACUGUAGCUAAUACCGGAUACGACCCUCGGAGGCAUCUCCCGGGGGUGGAAAGAAUUUCGGUCAAGGAUGGACUCGCGGCCUAGCAGCUAGUUGGUGAGGUAAAGGCUCACCAAGGCGGCGACGGGUAGCCGGCCUGAGAGGGUGACCGGCCACACUGGGACUGAGACACGGCCCAGACUCCUACGGGAGGCAGCAGUGGGGAAUAUUGCACAAUGGGCGCAAGCCUGAUGCAGCAACGCCGCGUGAGGGAUGACGGCCUUCGGGUUGUAAACCUCUUUUAGCAGGGAAGAAGCGAAAGUGACGGUACCUGCAGAAAAAGCACCGGCUAACUACGUGCCAGCCGCCGCAGUAA